AUUAGAAACUUUCAAAACUCA
rnacentral:piRNA from 1 species